AACGAACGCUAGCGGGAUGCCUCAAACAUGCAAGUCGUACGCGAAAGUUCCUUCGGGAACGAGUAGAGUGGCGCACGGGUGAGUAACACGUAGUUAACGUACCCUUUCGCUGGGGAUAACUCCGGGAAACCGGGGCUAAUACCGAAUGAGCUGUGAGAAACUGCGGUUUCUCUCGGCAAAGGCGCAAGCCGCGAAAGGAUCGGGCUGCGGUCCAUUAGCUUGUUGGUAGGGUAACGGCCUACCAAGGCGACGAUGGAUAGCUGGUCUGAGAGGAUGAUCAGCCACACUGGAACUGAAACACGGUCCAGACUCCCACGGGAGGCAGCAGUUGGGAAUAUUGCACAAUGGGGGAAACCCUGAUGCAGCAAUCCCGCGUGAGUGACGAAGGCCUUCGGGUCGUAAAGCUCUUUCAGCAGGGAAGAUAAUGACGGUACCUGCAGAAGAAGCACCGGCUAACUCCGUGCCAGCCGCCGCGGUAA
rnacentral:rRNA from 1 species